rnacentral:lncRNA from 1 species
CAGGGAGCCCGGAGCCCCGCAGGAGGGCAGUGAGAACCGGCUCCGAGAUCCGGUCCCCCGCCCCCCGGCGGCCCGCACCCCGCUCACAGGGCCUGGGCGGAGCCUCUGCUGGGGCGGGAGCGGCUCGGCUGCCUCGAUUCCCUCAGUGUCCGUCCGUCUGUCCGUCUGUCCGGCGGGGAGGAACGUGCUGAGCGCUCGGCGACCCGCAGAGCCACCACCCGGGUCUCUGCUCCCUGUUGGGCUGUGAGUUCCCUAAAGGAAAUCACCUUUGGGUUCACAGAACCUGGCCCAGGCCUGGACCAUCAUUUCAGAUGGGAAGGAAUUCCACACAUCUGUAGAAGGAACUGUUCCUGCUCCUCACUCCGGCCCAGGGCCUGUGGACGCAACCCUGCGCGGUGUGCACAGUGGAGCGCCUCCAGGACCCUGCUCAUCUAUGUCCGGCAGGCGGUGAGGGGUGAGUCUGCGGGGCUGGGCCUGACCUGCUGCCUGCUCUGCUCAGGAGCCCCAGCUGUGCAGCCUGCGCCCUCCUGGAGAAGGGAGACCGGAAGUGGGGCUGUUCACCACGCCUGCCUGCCUGCCUGCCGAGUUCAGAUUCUCUGGGAAUCCUGCAGAUGCAGCAGCUGAAGAGUGUCUGAGAGACGGAAGGUCACGUCCCCAGAUGGAGAAGACAGAGGUGUCUCUGAAGACUCGCUCACCUGCCAGCCACACGCUGCCCUCCUGUCCUGUCCCCCAGCGCCGUCCCCUCUGAG